rnacentral:other from 1 species
GCGAGGCUGCCCGGUGCGUCAGGUGCACUACUCCCGGGGGCUAUAAUAUUCAAACGAGGGAGCUGUCCCUGUAAGGGCUCUGGCCUUUAUACACGGCGCCCACUUUGUGCUCGCGGCCUUAGUGGAGGGUCUGCGGACCAACGGCCUACGGUGGCUUCGCA